CGAGUUUGAUCAUGGCUCAGGACGAACGCUGGCGGCGUGCCUAACACAUGCAAGUCGAGCGAGGAAGCCCCUUCGGGGGUGGAAUAGCGGCGGACGGGUGAGUAACACGUGGGUAACCUGCCUCAAAGAGGGGGAUAGCCUCCCGAAAGGGAGAUUAAUACCGCAUAGAAGGUAAAAAUCGCAUGAUAAAUGCCUUAAAGGAGCAAUCCGCUUUGAGAUGGGCCCGCGUCGCAUUAGCUAGUUGGAGGGAUAAAAGCCCCCCAAGGCGACGAUGCGUAGCCGACCUGAGAGGGUGAACGGCCACAUUGGAACUGAGAUACGGUCCAGACUCCUACGGGAGGCAGCAGUGGGGAAUAUUGCACAAUGGGGGAAACCCUGAUGCAGCAACGCCGCGUGAGUGAAGAAGGUUUUCGGAUCGUAAAGCUCUGUCAUCCGGGACGAUAAUGACGGUACCGGAAGAGGAAGCCACGGCUAACUACGUGCCAGCAGCCGCGGUAAUAC
rnacentral:rRNA from 1 species